rnacentral:tRNA from 1 species
CAAGGUAGCCGUACCGGAAGGUGUGGCUGGAUCACCUCCUUUUAGGGAGACCAUCUGAGAAACUACCGAACCUAAAGAAGUAGCAAUCAGUAUCCCUGGUCGUUCGAGAAAUAGAUGUCAAAGCUUUCAAACUAUUAACUGGUUCGGGAAAUGGGCUAUUAGCUCAGUUGGUUAGAGCGCACCCCUGAUAAGGGUGAGGUCCCUGGUUCAAAUCCAGGAUGGCCCACCUGGAAAAAAAAGUAAUGAAUUUGAAGUAAUGAGUCAGGAAUAAAAAUUCAGGAUUCAGGGUCUAAAAAAUCAGAACUUGCUUAGUGGGGGUAUAGCUCAGUUGGUAGAGCGCCUGCCUUGCACGCAGGAAGUCAGCGGUUCGAGUCCGCUUACCUCCACUCUCACUAGCUAUGUAGCUUAGCUAAGUAUUAAAAUACAAUCAAAACCAAGAACAGCACAGAAAUCAGCACCCAGACUAUCUCAUGUGAAAGUCGGAAUGCUGGAGUCUAGAACUCUAGUCAGAACCUUGAAAACUGCAUAGAAAUUAAGUCAUCAUCAAGCUUAGUAAGCAAUCCGAUGCGUCGGAAAGGCUUUUAAGCAGACCACCAUCAAAGCAGAAAGUGGUCAA